rnacentral:tmRNA from 1 species
GGGGAUGUAAAGGUUUCGACGGGGAAGCAGAGACACAAGGAGCGGGCCGCAGCGGGUACUGCGUAAAAAACCCAAACUUAAAAAUAAACGCUAAUAACGAUAAUUUAGCAUACGCUGCCGCUUAGUGCAGCUGUCCGCCCCGGAAUACCGCAGUCCGGGGAGAGGGCAUCAACGAUGCGGUGAACGUGAGCCGGGAAAGCUUUGACCCGGCCAUGAAAGAUGAAGCUACCGGCCGCCGGUGUUUGUCAGUGGACACCGACGGGCGGGAAUACUGACCACUGACUACGCCCGUAGCGCUUUGUGGGGAUGCUUUUUCGGACAGGGGUUCAAUUCCCCUCAUCUCCACCA